rnacentral:rRNA from 1 species
AUUGAACGCUGGCGGCAGGCCUAACACAUGCAAGUCGAACGAGUGGCGGACGGGUGAGUAAUGUCUGGGAAACUGCCUGAUGGAGGGGGAUAAUUACUGGAAACGGUAGCUAAUACCGCAUACCAUCGGAUGUGCCCAGUGGGGAGUAGCUAGUUGGUGGGGUAAAGGCUCACCUGGGCGACGAUCCCUAGCUGGUCUAAGAGGAUGACCAGCAACCGUGGAACGGAGCAACGGUCCAGACUCCUACGGGAGGCAGCAGUGGGGAAUAGUGCACAAGGGGCGCAGGCCUGAUGCAGCCAUGCCGGGUGUAUGAAGAAGGCCUUCGAGUUUUAAAGUACUUUCAGCGGGAAGGCGUUACCCGCAGAAGAAGCACCGGCUAACUCCGUGCCAGCCGCCGCGGUAAUUC